ACUUGCCUCUCUCCAACCCAAGCUAAUGGUUUUUCUGUGCUGAGCCUCCAUCCAUCCCAUUGAACCCUAAGUUUGGGAAGAAAACACAGCAGGUCCCCAGUGCUGAAGCGUAGGCCUGAUUGCAUCCCCCAAACCUGAUUCCCACCACCAGCGGGAGAGAGUGGAAGCUGCUCUCAGUAGAACAUAAUCUCCUCAUUUUCUACAAGGUUCAAGAGGACAGGGACUUAGAGUUUUCAUUACUUCUGAAUUCCCCACACCUAGGAAAGUGCCUGGCACAUAGUUGGUUUUAACAUGUAUUUGUUGAAUGAAUGAAUGGAUGUACAGCGUGCAGUCCUGUGGUCCAAAGACUCUCUUUCUCCUCCCUGGAUGGAAAAGCAGAGGAUUUGUCCCUAGUGUGAGCACAUCCUUCAAGAAUAACUUUGGACUCCAUUCAUCUGCAUGCCCUGAGCACUCAACUUAGGGCCAGAUGAUAAACUUUAUCGAAUGACUUGAAGAGGCCUUGGAUAGACUGAUGCUCAUUGUUUUUUCAUUUGGGAAGACUUACUGUGCCUACGGAGAGCCUUCCCUGGACUUCACUGAGAGAACUGCUUUCAUCCAGAUUCCGGAGUUGGAGAUGAAUGGGGUGCUAGAAGAGACAUUUUGUUGUCGUUCUUGGGAGAGAGACUGAGUGCACUUUAUACCCAUAAGCAUUUCCUCAUGGCAAACCACAACCUCUGAUUCAUCGGCCUCACAGAAAACGGUGUCUUCUCCUAGGGAGACAUUCAGCCUUUGAAGGAAUAAAUUGUAGAGCCCUGACUUAUACAGCAACCACCUCUUCAAUGGAAUGUAAACGUUGAGGGACUUCUGCAUAGCGGGAUCUGCUGACAGUUGACUGUUGGAGAAUACUUUACGAAUUAGUUCCCGUGGAGCCGUUGUUGCAUGAUAAUGCCCGGAUCUUUCGUGUCUAUUUGAAUUUCCACAAACCUUCACCUUGAGGAAUGAAUGGGGAAGUCCCAAGCAUCUAGAAGUCACACGAUGUAAGGGCUUGGGCUGAGCAGUUAGACAAGUUUGGGUUGAAUUUUAGACACGAUGAUCACUGUCUUGAUAAUUAGAAGCAAUCUCUGCAGAUGGGGUAACACAUGGAGUAAGUUUAAUAUAUGGCAGCCAUAUAUUAAAUAUAAGUAAC